rnacentral:rRNA from 1 species
AACGUAGGAGGCAAGCGUUAUCCGGAGUUACUGGGCGUAAAGCGCGUGUAGGUGGAUCGGUAAGUUACUUAUAAAAGCUCCUGGCUAAACUAGGAGAGGUUGAGUGAUACUGCCAGUCUUGAAUAGAGGAGAGGUUGACGGAAUCCCGCGUGUAGUGGUGAAAUGCGUAGAGAUGCGGAAGAACACCAGUGGCGAAGGCGGUCAACUGGCCUCAUAUUGACACUCAGACGCGAAGGCAUGGGUAGCGAACGGG